rnacentral:rRNA from 1 species
UACGGAGGGUGCAAGCGUUAUCCGGAUUCACUGGGUUUAAAGGGUGCGUAGGUGGGCAGGUAAGUCAGUGGUGAAAUCUCCGAGCUUAACUCGGAAACUGCCGUUGAUACUAUUUGUCUUGAAUAUUGUGGAGGUAAGCGGAAUAUGUCAUGUAGCGGUGAAAUGCUUAGAUAUGACAUAGAACACCAAUUGCGACGGCAGCUUACUACACAACGAUUGACGCUGAGGCACGAAAGCGUGGGGAUCAAACAGG